GCAGCAAAAACGAAUUGAGGGCAGGACCGAGAUUCUUCUCGGCUACGGCGUGUGUCAUUUGGAAGCUGAAGACCCGGGGACGGAGGCAACUGGCGUCGCCGGCGAGCCGCCAUGGAGUUUCUGGUGCAACUAAUUAGCAGAUUUAGUCUGCUUGAGGAGGUAGGGGAGCCGGUUCCUGUGGUUGUCAAUGUCUUUGCCGUGGCGGAUCUGCAAGUGGCAUUGCAGGCGGAGCGGGAGGCAGCGCAACGGCGGUGGACAGCGGCGAAGCACAAAUCUUCUUGGCAAAGGAGGCGGCGGCGAACAGAAGGGAGAGCUCGCCACCAAGGUCGGAGCUGUCGACGGGGAAGAUGAAUCCCCAAGCACCGGGGUGGAACAAAAGGUGGAGAGGCGUCCCAAUGAUAGCCACAACAAGUUCAGGAAGAAUCUUGAAGCACCUUCUGUCAAGGAUUUGAACUUUUGAAGCCAUCUCUGUUCUCUUUCGGCUCCGCUUGAUGGAUGACCAAAAGUAGCUUUAUAUCCCCAUGAAAGUCUCGAAUGUUCCAGUAAGUAUUGUUCAUGUACAUUAUGAAAAUGCUAUUCGGUUGAGUCAUGUUUUUAUUCUGUCAAAUGAUGAUUUUUUUAGUAUAGUCGACAGUAAAAAGUUUAAACCCAUUAGAGAUUAUUAAACAAAUGUUCACCUGAAAACAGAUUGUGAGGGUUUGAUUGAGAUAUGGAAAAGCCACAAGAAGAAUCGUGCUUCUGUUCUACCUAUUCUCCUUGAAAUCCAAGAGCUCAGUGGUUCUUUUUUAUUAUUUUCCAGUUCAGCUUUGUAAGGCCUGAGUUAAAUUUAGCUGCACAUUUAACUGCCAAACAUGCUUCUAGCUCCUUGCCGGAGUGUGCGCGGUUCUACUAGGUCCCGGCAUCUCUGAACAAUUGUAUACAGCAUGAACUUGCUGUUGUUGGUCAAGUAAUAUAAGCCAUUGCUUCCCCAAAAAAAACACAGUUGGCUUGCAGGGUAAAGACACCAUGCCCGUCGCACGUGACUGCCUUUUGUUUCUGAACAAUCAUAGGUGCAGCACAGCCUUGCAGGACACUGUGCCUGUCACGCGUGACUGCCUAAAAGCCAUGAGGGGUUUUGCAUAGAACCCUACAGAGAAUGUGAUUGUACCACAGUAGAUACAAGUUUCGACUCCCUCGGAGAGGCGUACAAUUUUUAUAAC